rnacentral:rRNA from 1 species
GCAAGUCGAACGAGAAAGCACCUUCGGGUGUGAGUACAGUGGCGAACGGGUGAGUAACACGUGGGCAACCUGCCCCAGAGACUGGGAUAACGUUCCGAAAGGGACGCUAAUACCGGAUGAUGCGCGACCUGCCAAGUAGGUCGCGCCAAGUGGUAGCUUCGGCUUCUGCUCUGGGAUGGGCCCGCGCCGGAUUAGCUUGUUGGUGAGGUAACGGCUCACCAAGGCGACGAUCCGUAGCUGGUCUGAGAGGACGAUCAGCCACACUGGGACUGAGACACGGCCCAGACUCCUACGGGAGGCAGCAGUGGGGAAUCUUGCGCAAUGGGCGAAAGCCUGACGCAGCAACGCCGCGUGAGCGAAAGACGGCCUUCGGGUUGUAAAGCUCUGUCAGGAGGGACGAAGCCACUCAGGUGAAUAGCCGAGAGGGUGACGGUACCUCCAGAGGAAGCCCCGGCUAACUACGUGCCAGCAGCCGC